rnacentral:rRNA from 1 species
GACGAACGCUGGCGGCGUGCUUAACACAUGCAAGUCGAACGGAAAGGCCCUGCUUUUGUGGGGUGCUCGAGUGGCGAACGGGUGAGUAACACGUGAGUAACCUGCCCUUGACUUUGGGAUAACUUCAGGAAACUGGGGCUAAUACCGGAUAGGAGCUCCUGCUGCAUGGUGGGGGUUGGAAAGUUUCGGCGGUUGGGGAUGGACUCGCGGCUUAUCAGCUUGUUGGUGGGGUAGUGGCUUACCAAGGCUUUGACGGGUAGCCGGCCUGAGAGGGUGACCGGCCACAUUGGGACUGAGAUACGGCCCAGACUCCUACGGGAGGCAGCAGUGGGGAAUAGUGCACAAUGGGCGGAAGCCUGAUGCAGCAACGCCGCGUGCGGGAUGACGGCCGUCGGGUUGGAAACCGCUUUCGCCUGUGACGAAGCGUGAGUGAAGGUAAUGGGUAAAGAAGCACCGGCUAACUACGUG